rnacentral:rRNA from 1 species
GACGUAGGAGGCGAGCGUUAUCCGGAUUCACUGGGCGUAAAGCGCAUGUAGGCGGAUGUCUAAGUCGUGUGUUAAAGCCCCUGGCUCAACUGGGGGAGGUCAUGCGAGACUGGAUGACUUGAGGGCAACAGAGGCACGUGGAACUCCCGGUGUAGCGGUGGAAUGCGUAGAGAUCGGGAAGAACAUCGGUGGCGAAAGCGCUCUACUGGACCGCAACUGACACUCAGGGACGAAAGCUAGGGGAGCGAAUGGG